CACGUAGGGUGCGAGCGUUGUCCGGAAUUAUUGGGUUUAAAGGGUGCGUAGGCGGCCAAGUAAGUCCGUGGUGAAAGCCAACAGCUCAACUGUUGAACUGCCAUGGAUACUGCUAGGCUUGAGUACAGACGAGGUAGGCGGAAUGGAUAGUGUAGCGGUGAAAUGCAUAGAUACUAUCCAGAACACCGAUUGCGAAGGCAGCUUACUAGACUGUUACUGACGCUGAGGCACGAAAGCGUGGGGAGCGAACAGG
rnacentral:rRNA from 1 species